UACGUCGUCUUGGAACUUUACCAGGUUUAACUAGUAGAAUACCUAAGCCGAGAUCAAAUUACUUGGAUCGAUCAGCAUCUAAUAAAAAGAUUUCUCAAUACCGCCUUCGAUUGGAAGAGAAACAGAAAUUACGUUUUCAUCAUGGAUUAACAGAAAGGCAAUUACUCAAAUAUGUUUGUAUUGCCAAGAAAGCAAAGGGGUCAACUGGUCAAUUAUUGUUGCAAUUACUUGAAAUGCGUUUGGAUAAUACAAUUUUUCGUUUGGGUAUGGUUCCCACAAUACCUGCAGCUAGACAGUUAGUUAAUCAUAGGCAUGUUUUAAUAAAUGCAAGUAUGGUUGAUAUACCGAGUUAUAAUUGUAAAACCGGAGAUAUUAUUACAAUAAGGAAUCGGGAAAUAAACCGAUUGAAACUUGAAAGGAAUACAAUUUCAGUCCAGAAACCCGAAAUACCAAAUCACUUAGCUUUCAAAUCAGUAGAAUUUUGUGGAUCGGUGAAUAGAACAAUUGAUCGUGAAGGAAUUGAUUUAAAAAUCAACGAAUUAUUAGUUGUAGAAUAUUAUUCCCGUCAAGUUUAA
rnacentral:precursor_RNA from 1 species